ACAGCAGUCCCGCGGGAAUACGGAGGGUGCAAGCGUUAUCCGGAUUUAUUGGGUUUAAAGGGUCCGUAGGCGGAUCUGUAAGUCAGUGGUGAAAUCUCACAGCUUAACUGUGAAACUGCCAUUGAUACUGCAGGUCUUGAGUAAAUUUGAAGUGGCUGGAAUAAGUAGUGUAGCGGUGAAAUGCAUAGAUAUUACUUAGAACACCAAUUGCGAAGGCAGGUCACUAAGAUUUAACUGACGCUGAUGGACGAAAGCGUGGGGAGCGAACAGGAUUAGAUACCCCAGUAGUCCCUGUCUCUUAUACA
rnacentral:rRNA from 1 species